rnacentral:rRNA from 1 species
UACGUAGGGUGCAAGCGUUGUCCGGAAUUAUUGGGCGUAAAGAGCUCGUAGGCGGUCUGUCGCGUCUGCUGUGAAAACUCAGGGCUUAACCCUGAGCUUGCAGUGGGUACGGGCAGACUAGAGUGCGGUAGGGGAGACUGGAAUUCCUGGUGUAGCGGUGAAAUGCGCAGAUAUCAGGAGGAACACCGGUGGCGAAGGCGGUGGGCUGGGCCGGAACUGACGCUGAGGAGCGAAAGCGUGGGGAGCGAACAGG